GUGAGGUGAAGGAAGCGCGUAGCAAAGUCAUGAGCCUACGAACAGAAACCUGAUAUGAGGCUAAAUGGUGGACAAGGGUGCACGUCAAUCUGAAGUCCGUGGUAAGCGUAAAACCAAGAGAGUAAAUCAGGAGGUUGUGUGACGAAAGAAC
rnacentral:ncRNA from 1 species